rnacentral:misc_RNA from 1 species
ACUGGAUUUAAGAAGUUUCAAGGAGUAGCCGAAAAUCCCACAGAGACAAUAGUUGAUAAUUUGAAGGAUUUUGUUGACAAGAGAGGGUUGCCUGCUGGGGUUACUCUAGGAAGCUGCACCAUUCUUGAGACUGCUGGAGAUGGUGCUCUUCCCACGCUUUACAAGGUCUUGGAAUCGGGCACUGCAGCUACAAAUGAUGACAAAAAUGAACAAAUCGUCUGGCUUCACUUAGGGGUCAACAACGGGGCAUUAAGAUUUGCCAUUGAGCGAUUAGCAGCAAAUGAAGCCACCUUCCUUUGUCCAGACGAGCUAGGAUGGCAACCUCUGCAACAUCCAAUAGUCCCUGAGGAUGGAGAAAUUUCCUGCACAAGAGAGACUUGUUGCUCCAUUGCGGAAGUACUGAGGUUCUUGAAGAAGAAGGGCUACGAGGUGACAAUAUCAGAUGAUGCAGGUCGCUUUGUAUGCAACUAUGUCUAUUAUCACUCUCUUCGAUUUGCAGAACAGAAGGGUUACAAAUCUCUUUUUGUGCAUGUUCCUUCAUUCUUAAGAAUUGAUGAAGAAACUCAAAUGCAUUUUGUAGCCUCCCUUAUAGAGGCUAUUGCCUCAACAUGUCAAUAAAAUUGAUCUCAGUAUAUUUUUUUAGGGUUCAUGUUUGUUUAUCAUGUGUCGGUGCUUGCUUGUUUAUAAACUGCUUCAAUAUCAUUAAUAAUAAUAAAGGGA